rnacentral:lncRNA from 1 species
GUCUGCUCCGGGACUUGGAACAAAAGGGGGAACUCUGAUGAACUCUCUUUCCUCCCCUCUCCCCCGGACGCCGGGGUAUCUCCCUCUCGCAACUUUGCCGCCCCGACUUUCUCUGCUGUCAGGCCGGGAAAAAGUGUCCGAACGCCUCGUGGACUGCAGCGGGGGAAAUGUCCCUUAAAAGUGCGACGAAGUGGGGAAGAAGGUGUAAUUACUAUUAUCAGCAUCUAGAAAGCAUCAUGAAUUUGCUGGAGUACUUCCUAGCACUGACCUCCUUCAUUCUGCGUUGUUCUUACUGGAUCUUUCCAUCAGCCAACAAUAUGGAAGUACCAAUACAAGGUCAAAUCAUUCCUGGAUUCAUCUGGAGUUGCUUAAAAGUUAAAUCAUUGGAAUUUUUGAUGAUACCUUUUCUAUAUGGAUUACAAUUUGAUCGCUGGGAAUUCUCCACCUUAAAGAAGUACCCUCAGGUGACUACAGAUGUGUUAACACCCAGCAUGUUCCGGUAGGAGACUUUCUGGAUGGGGAAGAUUUCCAGGAAUUGGCAACAAGCUCAUUUCACUGGUGGGUUUGCUGAAGCAUUAUCACAAGACAGUCAGAAUGACUGAUGAGUGCUCUUCAGGUGUGAAUCAUGGCAAUACAGUGAAAGACAGUGAUUUACUGCUUUUGAGGGCGUGCAUGUAUAUGAUUAACGGAUGGAAGUGCAGGACUCCAAGAUUUACUUCCUUCCCUUUCCAGCAGAAUUACCUGAGACGAGUAAAAUCUACUGGUGGAGUCACUCCAUUAUUCUUAUCUGUGGAGAUCUAGAUCUUGAUUUGAAAGUUUCUGAGAAAAUCUUCAGCUCAGACUUGAGGGUCAACUUUACCAGCUGAAGGAUCUGCAUUUACUGCUCAACCACAUCUAAUUUGAUGUCCUCUGCAGAUUUAAAAUGUGUGCCUUCUUUUCCGUCACCAAGUCAUCCCUGGGUUACUACUGAACAUCCUUCUCAAUUCCCCCCGACCCAUGGAUGGCUGUUCUCCAUUGUCUGUUUCACCAGAUGUCCUCAAAACAAACAGACAGAAGAAGGAAGUGGCUAAUGGUGAGAUUGGAAAUGGGUAUAAUAGAUUCCAGAGUCUGCGGCU